rnacentral:rRNA from 1 species
UACGUAGGGGGCAAGCGUUGUCCGGAUUUAUUGGGCGUAAAGAGCGUGUAGGCGGCCAUACAGGUCAGCUGUGAAAACUCGAGGCUCAACCUCGAGACGUCGGUUGAAACCGUAUGGCUGGAGUCCGGAAGAGGAGAGUGGAAUUCCCGGUGUAGCGGUGAAAUGCGCAGAUAUCGGGAAGAACACCCGUGGCGAAGGCGGCUCUCUGGGACGGUACUGACGCUGAGACGCGAAAGCGUGGGGAGCGAACAGG